rnacentral:ncRNA from 1 species
CAUAAAAAUAGGCAAACUUGUCGAAAGAUAGGGACGCAAAGCUAUGGGUCUAAGGAAAUAAUAUUCUAUGAUUGCCAGGUUGCACGU